rnacentral:rRNA from 1 species
AUACGUAGGGUGCAAGCGUUAAUCGGAAUUACUGGGCGUAAAGCGUGCGCAGGCGGUUUUGUAAGACGGAUGUGAAAUCCCCGGGCUCAACCUGGGAACUGCAUUCGUGACUGCAAGGCUAGAGUAUGGCAGAGGGGGGUAGAAUUCCACGUGUAGCAGUGAAAUGCGUAGAGAUGUGGAGGAAUACCGAUGGCGAAGGCAGCCCCCUGGGCCAAUACUGACGCUCAUGCACGAAAGCGUGGGGAGC